AACGCACCUUGCACCGUAUGAGCAAUUGUACGGUAUACCUGUUUGAGAAUCGUAAAAAAAACCCUCUUCCUGUGCCAUCCUCUCUUUCUCCUUUGAGGGAUAGAGGUGUAGCACAAGAAGGAUGUGUCGGCUGUAUCCCUUUCCCGGGAUACUCUGAUUAAAUGGAGUAGGUUUGGAUCAGGCUGGUGGCCUGAGACACUGUGCGCUAGAGACUAGCAGUUGUUUAUUUUCGACUGGUCUGUCUUCUCAUGGUGCGUCUCAGGUCAUUCCAAAGCUGGCCUGUUCAUCUGACCCUUUAACUGCGCCAAGGUCUUUGUGCCUUGGGCAACCCCACUCUUUGAUCUCAAAUCAGGUAAGGCUACCCGCUGAACUUAA
rnacentral:misc_RNA from 1 species